rnacentral:rRNA from 1 species
AAAGGUAGCAUAAUCAAUAGUCUUUUAAUUGAAGGCUUGAAUGAAAGGUUGGACGGAUAGAAAGCUGUCUUAAUAAGUUGUAUUGAAUUUAACAUUUGUGUGAAAAGGCAUAAAUAAAUUUAGGGGACGAUAAGACCCUAUAAAAUUUAACAUAUAUAAUUUCUUUUUUUAAUAGUUAAUUAAUUUAUAAAGCGAUUUAAGGUGUUUUGCUGGGGSGGCAUUGAUAUAAUUUUUGUAACUGUCAUAARAAUUUAAUAUAGGUUUAUAGAUUAUGGUCCUUUAUUAAGGAGUGAAGAUUA